ACUGAGCCUAGAGGGAUUGAAGGUGUGGUUGCUAUGUGACAUGUGCAUCAGUAGGUAGCAGAGAGGAGAGAGGCCAUGUCUACAGUCAUGUCUACCUCUGAACAUCUGAACAAUUAGUAGCCUAACACU
rnacentral:snoRNA from 1 species